CCUACGGGAGGCAGCAGUGGGGAAUAUUGGGCAAUGGAGGCAACUCUGACCCAGCAACGCCGCGUGAAUGAUGAAGGUCUUCGGAUUGUAAAGUUCUUUUCUAAGGGAAGAAGAAAGUGACGGUACCUUAGGAAUAAGCCUCGGCUAACUACGUGCCAGCAGCCGCGGGAAUACGGAGGGGGCAAGCGUUAUCCGGAAUGACUGGGCGUAAAGGUGGCGUAGGUGGUUUGACAAGUUAGUAGCGCAACUCCGGAGCUCAACUUCGGAACUACUACUAAAACUGUUGGACUUGAGUGCAGGAGGGGCAAUCGGAAUUCCUGGUGUAGCGGUGGAAUGCGUAGAUAUUAGGAGGAACACCAGUGGCGAAGGCGGAUUGCUGGACUGUAACUGACACUGAGGCACGAAAGCGUGGGGAGCGAACAGGAUUAGAUACCCCUGUAGUC
rnacentral:rRNA from 1 species